rnacentral:lncRNA from 1 species
UGCAGGGAUUACUACUAAGGAUCACACCCUCUACUGGAUGACAGUGUGUGUCCUCAUCCCUGGGUUCAUUCGGUGCUGAAUCUUACUCCCAACUGAAUAGACAUAGAACUGAUUUCCUAGUUCAUAUUUGGCUGGACUGAUCUGUUAAUAAUUUUUUACGGCUUAACUAGAUUGCACUGAGUUCACUGGAUUUUCGUUGACUGACGGAAUACUACUGAA